AUUGAACGCUGGCGGCAUGCCUUACACAUGCAAGUCGAACGGUAACAGGUCUUCGGAUGCUGACGAGUGGCGAACGGGUGAGUAAUACAUCGGAACGUGCCUAGUAGUGGGGGAUAACUACUCGAAAGAGUGGCUAAUACCGCAUGAGAUCUACGGACGAAAGCAGGGGAUCGCAAGACCUUGUGCUACUAGAGCGGCCGAUGGCAGAUUAGGUAGUUGGUGGGAUAGAAGCUUACCAAGCCGACGAUCUGUAGCUGGUCUGAGAGGACGAGCAGCCACACGGGGACUGAGACACGGCCCAGACUCCUACAGGAGGCAGCAGUGGGGAAUUGUGGACAAUGGGCGCAAGCCUGAUCCAGCAAUGCCGCGUGCAGGAUGAAGGCCUUCGGGUUGUAAACUGCUUUUGUACGGAACGAAAAGACCUGGGUUAAUACCCUGGGGUCAUGACGGUACCGUAAGAAUAAGCACCGGCUAACUACGUGCCAGCAGCCGCCGUAA
rnacentral:rRNA from 1 species